CAGCGGUUACCGCGCAGGCGCAGUAACGCCCAGACGCCAGGGCUGAAGGGACGCCGUUGCCGGGCGGCCUGGCGCUGAAGGCUGCGGACUAGUCUCGGGGUGGGCGGCUUCGCCAUGGAGGAGGGUGGCGGCGGCGGAGGGUUCCGCCUGUCAGCCGAGUGCCUGGACGAGCCCCCCAACAGCCGCGUGUUCCUGGUGCUGGGGAAGGACACGGGGGAGGCGCUGAUCCGGGAGCGCUUCGCCCCGUUCGGGGAGAUCCAGGACAUCUGGCUGGUGCGGGACAAGCGCACCCACGAGUCCCGCGGCAUCGCCUUCGUCAAGUUCGCCCGCAGCUCGCAGGCCUGCCGGGCCAUGGAGGAGAUGCACGGCCGGAGCCUGGCGCCCGACACCAAGCCCAUCAAGGUGUUCAUUGCGCAGUCCAGAGCUUCUGGAAGCCACCGCGAUGUUGAAGAUGAAGAGCUUACACGCAUCUUUGUUAUGAUACCAAAGUCCUAUACAGAGGAAGAUCUGAGGAAUAAGUUUAAGGUGUAUGGAGACAUUGAAUAUUGUAGCAUUAUUAAGAAGAAGACCACAGGAGAAAGUAAAGGUUUGGGCUAUGUGAGGUAUUUAAAACCAUCCCAAGCUGCCCUGGCAAUAGAAGAGUGUGAUCGAAGUUACAGGGCCAUUUUGGCUGAACCUAAAAGCAAGCCGUCUGAAUCAUCUGAACGUGAAUAUUACGGUAGUAGCAGUAGUAUGAGGCAGGAGCCAGUGGGGCAUGACCCAGGGCCUAGAGGGAGUGUGUUUCCCUUUGAAGGGCAGCCAGAAUUUGGUAGUUUUGAAAAGAGUCAGACAAGAGUUCGAGAAUCCGUUUCCAAACGCCUGUCAGUGGUAUCACGACUCCCCUUCAUACAAGAGCAGCUGUUCUUCCUCUUUGAUCUAGUCCCAGGACUGGAGUAUUGUGAUGUUCAGCGAGAUCCUCAUACAAACCAUGGGCAUGCUGUGAUUCAGUAUACUACUGCAGCAUCAGCUAUAUAUGCCAAAUACAAGCUACAUGGUUUUGAAUAUCCUCCUGGAAAUCGGCUAGGUGUAACUUUCCUUGAAGAUGGGAGUGACGGAUUGGACCACAUCAGAAAAAUGGCAACACAGCUGGUGACUUCACAAGUGUCAUCAAUGGUGUCACAUAAUAAUCUAGUUGGUCAGCAAUAUACAUCUUCUCAGCCGUACAGUGGAAGUUCUAGCUCUCAGUUAUCUCAGCCCCAAACAGAUGCUGUACUUCCAUCACGCAAAAAAAAAGUUCCUCCUGAGACUUCUGUGAAGGAAAGGCUUUUCAUAGUGUUUUAUCCUCAUCCCUUACCUGUAAAUGUGUUGGAGGAUGUAUUCUGUCGGUUUGGACAUCUUAUAGAAGUUUACCUUGUGACAGGAAAAAAUGUGGGCUAUGCUAAGUUUGCAGACAGAACAAGUGCUAGCGAUGCCAUAACUUCAUUACAUGGCAAGAUUGUGAAUGGUGUCCGGCUUAAAGUAAUGUUGGCAGAUUCACCUGCAGAAGAAUCUAACAAACGUCAAAGAACUUACUGACUCAAUGGGCAGAGAUUGCUCCAUAAAGAGGAGUUUGGGGCUUAAAACCAUCCGUCUUUCAGGAAAGAUCCUUUUUGAUGGAGCUUGGCAGAGCUAAGAAUGGUAUAGUCUAAGGGAGGAGUAAGCGGAGUCGACGGGGGAGCCGCCGCACUCGACUCGCCGCCGUGAGGGCGGCCAGGUAAGUCGAACUAAGAUACUUCGACUUCAGCUACGUGAAUAGCAUAGCUGAAGUUGUGUAUCUUAGUUCGAAAUUACCCCCUAGUGUAGCCUAGGCCUUAGUGUCACAGGUGAGGUCAGGGUCCUGUCGUUAACCAAAGAGUGCUAUGCAUCUUUUUGGUCAGGAUUCCCCUCCAUGUACAAUAAGUAGUACUGUUGAAGAUCCAGUUGGUGUAGUCCUCCUUCCAUUUUGUGAAGAUCUUUUAAGGACUCCAAGAGAGAAUCUUUAGGGUUUUCAAGUGAAGUGAACUUAAAAUAUAAGAGUUGUGCUGAGCUAAGCUAAUGGUGUCUAGGAGCAGCAGCAUUCAUUUCAGGGGUCCGGUUCUGGCUGUGCAGGACAACAUUUUUUCCUGUGACUUUAUCUAGUGAGUAUGUUGGAUAUGCUUGCUGCCUCUUAUUUUUGGGGUGUAAAUUUUGUUCAGAUCUGGAAUGAGAGAGAGAACCAAAAUAACUGUAGAGUCAGAGCAAGGUUUUUGGAGGCAAUGGGCAAAGAUACACUCCAGUGCCGCUUAGGAGCGGAACGGCCUUUUAUUUCAGUUUGCUUCCUAAAAAGUUUUCAUAUGUUCUCUGAAGGAAAUCUACAUUUCAUAAACCAUGUGUAGUUGGGGUGCACGAUGUUGAGGAGAGUAUUGAGCCUAGGCUUUCUAAUGCUGUCCUUCCACUUCAAAGCAUAAAAUUAAAACCUUUCCUCCACUACAGAGGAAUCUGAUAAAUAUUCAUAAUAAUCAAGAAUGGCCAGUAAUGUUAAUGUAGACUAUACAGUGCAGUAGCAAGUCUGCUAUUAAUAUAGCAUGAAACAUAUGAGAGAUAAGGACAAACUAGUUUUUGAAAGCCUGACUGCACUGUAGAUGCUCCACUUAAGUUUCGCAAUGGCCUUUUAAAAUUAACAACAGUUUGUUUUUUUUAAUCUGAUUUUGGAAUAUAUUUUUGUCUCAAAAUGUGGUUAUAGUAAGUGGCUAAACAGCAUUGUGAAGUUCCAUGUUUCUCUGCUGAUUCCAUGUCAAAGAUUGCUCAGUUCGUAAACAAAAAGAUAUUUUGUUCAAACUUCUAGCGCUGCAAACUCAUCAUGGAGAUCUGAGCCAUUUCUUACGCAUGUAAAAUAUUACAAGCAAAGUUGGAGUUGCACAGAUGUAAAAGAGCAUAAUGUGGUGACAAGGACAAAAAGGAACCAAGUGCAGUUCUUACAACAGAAAAAGUUGAAACUAACCAGCGAGCUAAAAAGCAGUUUUGUUUAACUGUGGUCUUCCUCGCGUCAUUCCCCAUUUUUCCCUUUUCUUUUCCUUCUCCCACAGUAAAUCUGAAAAGCAGCCCUGCUGCAUCUCCAGCAGGAUGCAGCACACAAAAAUGGUGUCUCCCGUUUUGAGCUGCUGCUGUAGGAAUGCUAGCACUGGUGCGUCAAAAGGAACGACCUUUCAGUAGUAUUGUGGCACACUGAAAGCACGUUUUGUAAAACGUAACAUUUUACUCCUACCGGUGACCAAAUGUAGACAGGCUUUGCUUUUUUUUCCCCACAAUGUAUGCACGAUUAUGACUUCUGUCCCUAUGGUUAAAUUAUCUUUCUAAAUUGUGGUUUACUAAUCCGUAACUUCUUAGAUCUUUUUUAUCUAGGGUAAUUUAUUCCAGAGGUCUAAGGAUUAAAUGUUCUAAUACAUUAAAUAUGGUCACUGUUUUUCCCUCUCCCCCCCGCCCAGAAAUUAGUUGUUUGUUUUCUUAAAACAGGAGAUAUAAAACAUUUAAACUGAUAUGCCUCUCGCAUUGCAUUUCCAGUGUUCUGUAACUCUAGCUUCUAAUACUUUGUUUUUGAGCAGCAGCUAUAGAUUUUCCUAAAAUGUUGAACUUCUGGCAUGCAGGUUUAGGAAUCUGGCUAAAAUAGGCAUCCAAGGUACAACUUGAUUGUUUCUUUCGCAGUUUGUGUAAUAGUGUAAAACUUUUUUUAUUAAAAAAGAUAUAUGGAUGUAUAUUGAAAAUUUUUUUUGGUUUGUUUAACUUUGGUUAGCACACUAGCAUAGAUGUUAUAAGAAGAUGCUGCAUAUCUGUGCAAGUGCCUGUUCUUUUUAAAAGAAAUUUCCAAUUUUGCAAAAGUAAUGGUAUUGUUUAUAUAUCUCCACUGAAGAACUGAGACGGUUGUCUUUCGAUAAGGACUGCCAUUUUAAUUAUUUUUCCCAUUAGAAAACAUUGGAAAAAGGUUGAACUCUGAAACUUUCCAUGAACUUUGAAAUGGAUUGAAUUCCAAUGCUUUAAAAUAGAAAGAUGUUUCUUUUUCUUACUUUGCAUCAUGAAAUUAUCAAGAUAAUGGCUUAUUGUGUAAUUGAUCCCUCUUAUGAGUGAUUUAUACCUUUUGUAAUUAAUGUUUAGCGUAUCUUUUAGAUGAUGGUGAAGUUUUCCUUUGAGUGGCUGUACGUUGACCUUUGUAGGGAAAGAUUGGAGUUAACUUUAGCAUAAUUUUGCACACAAAAAAUAAAUAGGAGUGCCAUUAACUAUUUUUCCAUAGGGCAACUGAGCAGGAGGGUUAAAACAGAUAUUACAGGGGUUACAAAAACAUGGUGGAAUAGCACUCAUGACUGGAAUAUAGCUAUUGAAUGGUAUGUACUGUUUAGGAGCGAUUGGAAUAAAGGUAAAAGUGGUGCGGUAGUGUUGUACAUCAAUGAAACAGUAAACUAAAGAAAUACGAAGUGAUAGUAUGGACAAAACAGAGCUUGUUUUGGGUCCAAAUCACUUUGGGGAAGAAUUGUAUUGGGAUUGUGUUAGGGGUCUGCUAUAGACCCCCAGGGUCAGAUUCCUGGGGUCUUACAGUAUAAGCAAUCAAAUAUGUUCAAAAAUAGAGAGGCACAUUAUUAAAGAACUAGAACAUAAUUUCAUUCACAAGAUAAUACACAAUAUGUUUCAGAAAAAAUGCUUGCUUUCACACAGAAUUUGUUAGAGAACCAGGGAAUCCUACAUAGAGUAUUAGCUUCUCUAAAUAUUUUAAUUAUAGACUUGCUUUUAUGUGUGGGUUGGAGUGCCAUUAUAAGAAAUACCUUUAUUAUAAUGUGUAUUUUUAAAUAAAUAUAGGUAUUUUAUCUUUGACACUAUCUUCAUUCUUGUAUUCUUUCUACAGCGCAGAGACUAAAUAAUGACAUGACCCUCAGCUGACUGACU